AUGUUGAAGAGUAAACUUUUAUCAUAUGUCAUAUGAUUAGAUGCCCCUGAGUCUAUUAUCCAGGUGGCAGAGUUAAUAUGAGUAAGCAUGCAAAGCUUAGAAUCAGAAAUAGGGCUCUCAGUUAGCUUUGUACCAGCAAAAUUAGCAACAUACAUGGGAGGAGGAGUCUGAGCAGUGGAGUCCCCUAACUGGGUCUGUUGUAACAGGCUCAUCAAUUGGUCAUACUGUUGUCUACUCAACCCUGGUAUCACAGAACUCUGGCCAUCUAUGUUUGUAACAGAGUGAUGGCUUUCAGGA
rnacentral:lncRNA from 1 species